GAAGUCACGCUUAAGGUCCUAAUGGAUUUCAAACUAAUUAUCCCUCGUCUGCUAAUGGUCUGUCUUUGCUUCUCGUCUGCUAAACGGAUUUCCUUGGAUCAGAAGCCAUCGAAUGUUAUAAAUGCGCAUUUGCUCCAUACAUUUACUUCACCAAUGAAUCAUCUUUUUGUAAAGAUUUUGACCAUUCUAACAGAUUCAUAGUAGAUUGCCCUUACUCGACGUUUUGUGUAAAAAAGAACACGUACGCUAUUAUUAACGGAGUGUCAAUAAAUGGUACUGAAAGAGAUUGUGCGUCCCAAAAACUUGACACGCAACGUUUAAGUAAUGGUAAAUGGCAUCCUGAAACCAGAGUGGAAGAACCAUAUGAAGAAGGGUGUAAGGCAAAUGAAGAUAAAGGUCUGAGAACAGCUUAUGUAGAACACUGCUAUUGUAGAGGCGAAUUGUGUAAUUCAGGCAAAACUGUAUUCGAAUUUGGACUUUUUACAAUUCUAUUAAAUUCUCUAGCUGUACAUCAGGCUGUUGGCUUUAUGUUCUUAUAAUAAAUGUUUUCCUGAUAAUUAUUAAAUAAAUUAAAAGACAAAGUGCAUAUAAAAAUACAAAAGAAUAUAGUAAAAAUUAUGUAGAUAACUUAAGUAGAUAAUCAGGUUUAUAUUAUUAUUAGUUUCUAUAUAUGCGAUUGCUUUGACGCAAGGCAAUCACUACCAGUACAGCAUUUGUUGGUAUCGUGUUAUCUUGAAAAUGACAAAGUACACAUUAUCAGUUAUGUUGAACGCAUAAUGUAACAAUAAAAAAAAUGGAAUAAAUUUAAA